rnacentral:lncRNA from 1 species
UCAAUUCUCCCGGUCCCUUUAGUACUAUUCCUGCUCCAAUGGCCUUGAGGUUAGAUAAGCCGCCCACCGAUAGAAUCCACUGCUCGACCAUUUCUUCGAGGUGGGUGCGCUCAAUUCUAUUAAGAAAUCUUCUAAUACUUAUGACUUGAUGUUGUUUCUAGGUGCGUACAUGAUAUCAUAUUCUGAUAAGUCUACCCGCCAUGCUACCAU